GGUGGCUCAGCAGUAGAGUGCAUGCCUAGCAAGCAUGAGGCCCUGGAUUCGAUUCCUCAGCACCA
rnacentral:tRNA from 1 species